rnacentral:lncRNA from 1 species
GACGUAGGGGGGAGCCUCUGUGGCGUUUGUCCUUCUGUGUCCACGUUAUUUCCCGUCACAGCUGUCCUCCAGGCCCUUCCACGCUGCCCCAGUGACAGGGCUUCAUUGACGUGACAGCAUCCCUGUCUUCUGAUGUGCACAGACGCCGUGUUCACUUUCCCAUCCACCCCUGGUACACACUCAAGAUGAGUCCGUCUCGGGUGUGUUGAGUAGUGUCUCAAUAAAACCACCAAUCCUCAGGGAAGCGCGAAUCAGAACACAGCAGCCUAUCACCUCACCUCGUGUAGAACGGCUCGCAAGAGAAGGAUGAAAAACAGCAAACACACUGCGGAGGUGGAGAAAUGGGGGACGUAGCGGUGAUCGCCAGCUCCUCUGCCUCUUCCUCCCCUUUCCCCUUCAUUCCUGCUAUCUGUAGCAAAGCUGUUUGCCCCUGCUCCUCGCUGCCUUAUUAGGUCUCUGCCAGGGGAGCAGCAAAAGCCUGGGGAUGAUGCUUCGCUUCUUGGAGACACCUCUCCGACAACCAGCCCAGAAAAACUCAGCACCGUCCUGACGCCUCACAAGCAGGUCCUCCCGAUGUAAGAGGGGCUCAGCUCUGCACUACACCACCCACCUCCUCUCAGUGCCGCAGCUGUGCUCAGGAAGGCAGAUCCACUGUGAAGAGGUGAGAAGUAAAAUGGAAACACUGUUCUGUCACGAAGGUCUGGAGAAGCUCCACAGCUUGCCCGUACCAUGGCUCUCUCCAGCUAGAAGCCUGGUCGAGAGCCGGCACAUCUGCAGAGCCUGGCUGGCUCCCUCUGUGGAGUGGUGUUACAGAAUGACCUGAGAAUGAAGCAAGUUUUCAACACAGAUCGUGAAUCACAUCUGAUCUACAGCUCACCAAGAAGCCUCGCCAUUGCCUGCCGGGGGAAGAGCUAGCGCUUUCGUGCUGACCCGCGAAUUCUUGCCUCCCUGCUUCCAAAUGCUUCUGUGUUUCUUCCACUUCCUGCUGCAGUUUGUAUGUAAAAGCACAUUUCUGAAGUCAGGCAGUUUCCUUAGAAAUAGUCCAUUUCUUGUUCUUUUUGUUUGUUUUCUUCCCCAG